GCCGGGGUGGUGGAAUUGGUAGACACGCUACUUUGAGGUGGUAGUGGGAGAAAUCCUGUGGGGGUUCGAGUCCCCCCUUCGGCACCA
rnacentral:tRNA from 1 species